UACGUAGGGGGCAAGCGUUGUCCGGAUUUAUUGGGCGUAAAGAGCUCGUAGGCGGUUCAGCAAGUCGGGUGUGAAAAAUCUGGGCUCAACCCAGUGGAGCACCCGAUACUGCUGUGACUAGAGUCCGGUAGGGGAGUGUGGAAUUCCUGGUGUAGCGGUGAAAUUCGUAGAUAUCGGGAGGAACACCGGUGGCGAAGGCGGCGACCUGGGUGGAUACUGACGCUGAGGCGCGAAAGCGUGGGGAGCGAACAGG
rnacentral:rRNA from 1 species